rnacentral:rRNA from 1 species
AUUGAACGCUGGCGGUAUGCUUAACACAUGCAAGUCGAACGGUAACAGGCCUUCGGGCGCUGACGAGUGGCGGACGGGUGAGUAACGCGUAGGAAUCUGCCUCAUAGUGGGGGACAACGUGGGGAAACUCACGCUAAUACCGCAUACGCCCUACGGGGGAAAGCGGGGGAUCUUCGGACUUCGCGCUAUGAGAUGAGCCUGCGUUAGAUUAGCUAGUUGGUAGGGUAAAGGCCUACCAAGGCGACGAUCUAUAGCUGGUCUGAGAGGACGAUCAGCCACACUGGGACUGAGACACGGCCCAGACUCCUACGGGAGGCAGCAGUGGGGAAUAUUGGACAAUGGGCGCAAGCCUGAUCCAGCAAUACCGCGUGUGUGAAGAAGGCCUUAGGGUUGUAAAGCACUUUCAAUUGGGAGGAAAACCUGCCGGUCAAUACCCGGUAGCUUGACAUUACCUUUAGAAGAAGCACCGGCUAACUCCGUGCCAGCAGCCGCGGUAAU